rnacentral:rRNA from 1 species
CGUAGGGUGCAAGCGUUGUCCGGAAUUAUUGGGCGUAAAGAGCUCGUAGGCGGUUUGUUGCGUCGGCUGUGAAAUCCCGAGGCUCAACCUCGGGUCGUGCAGUCGAUACGAGCAAACUAGAGUGUUGCAGGGGAGACUGGAAUUCCUGGUGUAGCGGUGAAAUGCGCAGAUAUCAGGAGGAACACCGGUGGCGAAGGCGGGUCUCUGGGGCAACAACUGACGCUGAGGAGCGAAAGCGUGGGGAGCGAACAGGAUU